UUAUUAUUCUUGCUUCAUGUACUAAAAAUGGAAUGAUACAGAGAAUAUUAGCAUGACCUCUGUAUAAGGAUGACAUGCAAAUUUAUAUAAAAAUUACUGUAAAU